rnacentral:tRNA from 1 species
GCCAGUGUGGCACAGUGGUUUGAGUGUUGAACUGAAACUCUGAAGACCAGGGUUUGAUUCCCAGUUGAACCA